rnacentral:rRNA from 1 species
UUGAACGCUGGCGGCAUGCUUUACACAUGCACGUCGAACGGUAACAGGCCUUCGGGUGCUGCCGAGUGGCGAACGGGUGAGUAAUGCAUCGGAACGUGCCCAGAGGUGGGGGAUAACGCAGCGAAAGCUGUGCUAAUACCGCAUGUGAUCUGAGGAUGAAAGCGGGGGACCAGGCAGCAAUGUUUGGCCUCGCGCCUUUGGAGCGGCCGAUGUCAGAUUAGGUAGUUGGUGGGGUAAAGGCUUACCAAGCCGACGAUCUGUAGCUGGUCUGAGAGGACGACCAGCCACACUGGGACUGAGACACGGCCCAGACUCCUACGGGAGGCAGCAGUGGGGAAUUUUGGACAAUGGGCGCAAGCCUGAUCCAGCAAUGCCGCGUGCGGGAAGAAGGCCUUCGGGUUGUAAACCGCUUUUGUACGGAACGAAAAGGCUCUGGCUAAUACCUGGGGCUGAUGACGGUACCGUAAGAAUAAGCACCGGCUAACUACGUG